rnacentral:rRNA from 1 species
UUCUGGUCAUUUAGAGGAAGUAAAAGUCGUAACAAGGUUUCCGUAGGUGACCUGCGGAAGGAUCAUUAUCGAAUUUCGAGGGGGGAAGAUGGAGGGGGGAGACUGUCGCUGGCUUCCACUGGGAAGCAUGUGCACGUCUUCCUUUUCGUCGACCUUUCUCUUACUCUCACACCUGUGCACACAUUGUAGGUCCUCGAAAGAGGAUCUAUGUCUUUAUCAUCACACACAUCGUAUGUCUAGAAUGUAUCACGAUCGUCGACCGACUUUGCGGUCGGGCGGCGGUCAAAUAAAUAAAUACAACUUUCAGCAACGGAUCUCUUGGCUCUCGCAUCGAUGAAGAACGCAGCGAAUUGCGAUAAGUAAUGUGAAUUGCAGAUUUUCAGUGAAUCAUCGAAUCUUUGAACGCACCUUGCGCUCCUUGGUAUUCCGAGGAGCAUGCCUGUUUGAGUGUCAUUGAAUUCUCAACCAUGUCUUGAUUGAUUUCGAGGCAUGGCUUGGACUUUGGGGUUGCUGGCGGCGAAAGCUGUCGGCUCUCCUGAAAUGCAUUAGCAAUGGACAGCAAGUCUGAUGUGCACGGCCUUGACGUGAUAAUGAUCGUCGUCGCUGGAGCAUUGGACGAGCAUGAAUGAGUCUGUUUGCUUCCAAUCCUUGACUUGGGACUUGCGAAGCUUUAGCUACUAGUUGGUCGUGAGGCCGACGAACGCAAGGCUGGCUCCGGUCCCUCGUCUUUCUUGACAACUUGACCUCAAAUCAGGAGGACUACCCGCUGAACUUAAGCAUAUCA